rnacentral:rRNA from 1 species
GAAAAGUCUGGUGCCAGCACCCGCGGUAAUUCCAGCUCCAAAAGUAUAUUUUAAAGUUGUUGCGGUUAAAACGCUCGUAGUCAAUUUAAAAGUUUAACUGAUAUGUUACCUUGAACAUGUACAGUUUGGAGAUUCAUAAUCUCCAGAUUCCUUUACAGGGCAACGUGUUUGAGGCUCGUUUUCGAAAGCUUUCGGAGGAAAAAUGCAGUCCUACUUGGGCCUGUAUAGAGAGUGUAUAGAAAUUAGCAUCUUCAGUUAGAUUUGUCUUCAACUGUGAUUAAAUCAAUGUGCUUAAAGCCGGGUCAAUAAAUCAAUCCUAUAUGCUUCAACAUGGUAUUGAGGUUAAUAUCACAGAAGCGAAGGCGGUUACCCAUCACACUUCAGUCAAUCAGGAACGAAAGUUGGGGGAUCGAAGAUGAUUAGAUACCAUUGUAGUCCCAACUGUAAACUAUCUCGACAAGAGAUUGGCAGGAUACUUUUUUUCAGAUUCUCUCAGCAUCUAAGGGAAACCGAAAGUGUUUGGAGUCCUGGGGGAGUAUGGUCGCAAGGCUGAAACUUAAAAGAAUUGACGGAAGAGCACCACCAGGAGUGGAGUUUGCGGCUUAAUUCGACCCAACACGGGAAAACUCACCAAGUCCGGAUAGUUGUUAGGAUUGACAGAAUAAAGUUCUUUCAAGAUUUGCUAUAUGGUGGUGCAUGGCCGUUCUUAGUUCGUGGAGUGAUUUGUCUGCUUAAUUGCGAUAACGAACGAGACCUCUUUCACUAACUAGGCCAUCAGUUUUACACAAACUGAUAAAAUCUGGCUAGGGCGUGUCUCUAGUUGGAGGCUUCUUAGGGAGACAAUACUUCGUUUAUACAAUAAUUAGAGUAAGGAAGCGAGGCAAUAACAGGUCUGUGAUGCCCUUCGAUGUUUUGGGCAGCACGCGUAUUACAAUAUUAAUACCAGCAAGUUUAUCUUAAUUGCCUUCUCUAAAUCUAAAAGAGUGGGAAAACUUUUCAACUAUUAAUGUGACUGGGAUAGAUGUUUGGUAAUUUCAUCUUAAACGAGGAAUUCCUAGUAGGCGCAGGUCAGCAACCUGCACCGAUUACGUCCCUGCUCUUUGUACACACCGCCCGUCGCUCCUACCAAUGGAACAAGAAGGUGAAGUUGAGGGACUUUUCUCCGGAUGAGAAACUUACCUAAACCUUCAUGUUUAUAGGAAGGAUAAGUCGUAACAAGGUCU